CAGGCGGCCGGUUUCAGUGCCUCCCUCCUUUUAAAUGCUAAUGAGCUACUACAUGCACCGCCCAAAGAUGUAUUUGCGCCGCCCACCUCUCCCUGCCUGCGGAAGACGUGAGGGCGGCAUUGUGUGACCAUGGCAACGGCUGAGUUACCGGAAGAAAUGGCCGCCGGACAACAAACUGCGGUGCAACCGUACAUGUUCGAGCCGGAGUCCGACCCAGAACAACAAGAGGCUCCAGAAGAAGUUCAGCAGCCAAGAAUGAACAUGGAUGUUUCUCAGUGGUGCUCCUGUGGCAGUUGUGAACAAGUGCCUACAGAGCCCGAGAAUAUCUGCUGUAUUGAAAUAAAACAAGUAAGUGUGAACACUGGGCAAACAAGGUUGUUAUUUUGCAGUCUCUUUUCUUUAAUCCAUUGUCACUCACUUACCUUUCAUAACUUCUAGGUUACACAAAGACUAAGUUACAGCAGCUUCCUGAGCAACCAUCAUGCAUGCUGGACCAUCCUGGCCUAGAACCUGUCUGCCUGAAUGUGUUUUCACCGCAGAAUGCACUGAACAUUUAUCGGGCAGACUACGGACCUUUACGUCUGAGGGGAAUAGUGCAGUAAGCUUUUUAGGCCCAUAAAUUUAUUGCAAAAGUGUUAUGAAGUACAUAACUGCUUCCUCUGUUUUACAUUGCUUAUAGUUUAUCUUUACUAUCUUUUACUUGGUAACAUGAAAACUACAUAUCAAACAAUGAAAACACACAGAACAGUUGGGAGAUAUGUUUUAUUGCAAGAAACAAUUGUAGACAUACAAAAUAUAUCUAAAGUGGAACAGUUAAACUUGCCAGUUGCCAUGGAUGUGAACAUUCAGUGCUGACUUUCUGCUGAAUUGUAUCCAACCAACAUAGAGCCUAGCCUUACAGAAGCUUUGUAAGCUGGUGCUGGUGUUUUCUGGGGCGAAGAGUGAGAGCUGUGCUGCCUGCCUGCGUGGUGCUGAGGAUUCAUGCAGAGUUCCCUGAUGCUGAAGGUUCAGUCCUGUCCUUGAUUGAACCUUGGCACGUAACUGGCUAUAACAUCCAGCUUGUUGGGUUGGCUGAGAGGGAUAGUAAGUUUCAGCACCUCGUUCACAUAUGGGCCAGGGUCCUGGAAAACCUUCUUGAAGAUCAGGUCCAACAGUGCAUCAA